CAAAUAUCAGGAUAACAGAUACUCUAAKUGAGGCUAGGCAAAGAUGGAUCUGGUUUGCAUGUUAUCUAUUUUUAAAAAGUGUGAUGGCAAAGACACCAGGCUUCAGAAGAUCUGAGAAAAUCAUAUACAAUAAUUAUACCUUCAGAUAC
rnacentral:lncRNA from 1 species